rnacentral:rRNA from 1 species
UGCAGUUGAUACUGGAUAUCUUGAGUGCAGUUGAGGCAGGCGGAAUUCGUGGUGUAGCGGUGAAAUGCUUAGAUAUCACGAAGAACUCCGAUUGCGAAGGCAGCCUGCUAAGCUGCAACUGACAUUGAGGCUCGAAAGUGUGGGUAUCAAACAGGAUUAGAUACCCUGGUAGUCCACACGGUAAACGAUGAAUACUCGCUGUUUGCGAUAUACAGCAAGCGGCCAAGCGAAAGCGUUAAGUAUUCCACCUGGGGAGUACGCCGGCAACGGUGAAACUCAAAGGAAUUGACGGGGGCCCGCACAAGCGGAGGAACAUGUGGUUUAAUUCGAUGAUACGCGAGGAACCUUACCCGGGCUUAAAUUGCAGAUGAAUUACGGUGAAAGCCGUAAGCCGCAAGGCAUCUGUGAAGGUGCUGCAUGGUUGUCGUCAGCUCGUGCCGUGAGGUGUCGGCUUAAGUGCCAUAACGAGCGCAACCCUUGUUGUCAGUUACUAACAGGUUCCGCUGAGGACUCUGACAAGACUGCCAUCGUAAGAUGUGAGGAAGGUGGGGAUGACGUCAAAUCAGCACGGCCCUUACGUCCGGGGCUACACACGUGUUACAAUGGGGGGGUACAGAGGGCCGCUACCACGCGAGUGGAUGCCAAUCCCAAAAACCUCUCUCAGUUCGGAUUGAAGUCUGCAACCCGACUUCAUGAAGCUGGAUUCGCUAGUAAUCGCGCAUCAGCCACGGCGCGGUGAAUACGUUCCCGGGCCUUGUACACACCGCCCGUCAAGCCAUGGGAGCCGGGGGUACCUGAAGUGCGUAACCGCAAGGAGCGCCCUAGGGUAAAACUGGU